GUCGUCGCCGUUGUCAAUGUCUGUCUGUCGAAUUUAUGACAUAAUUCGAUUCAUUUCUUUAAAUUCAUUUUGCAACAAAUUGCAAAGAGCAGCAAAUGCUUUGCGGCCCAAAAUGAGUUUUAUAUUGAGCUCGGCGACGCACAAUUGUUGUGGCUCCGCAUUGUACGAUUCAAGUGAUUUUCGCAUCAUUGGCAGCCGUUUUUACAGGUAUUAUUAACCAAAGCAUUUGAAGUCAAAGCUCAAAAGGAAAAUCAAGAACGAGAACCAGAAAUUCCAAGAAAUGAACUCUACGAAAUCACAAAAUUUUACAUUAUUUUGGGUACGUUUUGCGGUAAGAAGAAGUAAGGAUAUCUUCGGCUUGCCAAAGAUUAAAUAUCCUUGUUAACAUUCGCCUAUCGGUUACGCAGAUAUAUCGUUCCUAUGGCAGCUUAAUGAUACAAUAGUUCUAUGUUGCAUAUAUAUGAGAAGCAGCGAAGACCAAAGGACAACGGACAUGGUUAUAUUAUUAUUAUAUUCGACUAUGGAUGCCGAUUUAGAAUAUAUUGUCAUAUAUUGUCAAUUGGAAUAAAAAUUCUCUCUUAAAUAUAUUUA